rnacentral:rRNA from 1 species
UUGGCUCAGGACGAACGCUGGCGGCAGGCCUAACACAUGCAAGUCGAGCGGAUGAAGGGAGCUUGCUCCUGGAUUCAGCGGCGGACGGGUGAGUAAUGCCUAGGAAUCUGCCUGGUAGUGGGGGAUAACGUCCGGAAACGGGCGCUAAUACCGCAUACGUCCUGAGGGAGAAAGUGGGGGAUCUUCGGACCUCACGCUAUCAGAUGAGCCUAGGUCGGAUUAGCUAGUUGGUGGGGUAAAGGCCUACCAAGGCGACGAUCCGUAACUGGUCUGAGAGGAUGAUCAGUCACACUGGAACUGAGACACGGUCCAGACUCCUACGGGAGGCAGCAGUAGGG